GAGUGGUGUUUGGUUUGAUACGGGUGGUUGGCUCCCUGCUUGAGCAGGCACGGCCAUGCGUACAAUCCUUUUCAGUUGUGCGGCAAGGCUUAUAUUGUCUUGAUCGUAUAUGUGGGUUUCUUGUGUUGCAUACCUGAUCGAUGGCAUCGCUUUGAUAAAACUAUACCUUUUUCGUCAGGCGUUGCACCCGCAACGUCGGAUGAACCACGUGGCCUCCUCUUUGAUCCAUACAGUCGAUGGCAAUUCGUUGAUUGUUUGGCCCUUUGAGGGCGGUUUGGUCUCUCGGAUAUGGAAGCCAAAGUGGGCAUGGGUUCGUAUGAUCCUCUUAUUGCCUUCGUUGAGCGUUCUCGCUUCUCUUACACGACCGCCUUUCACGUAUGGCAUGUCCCAGCGUGUUUGGCUACGUCGAAGAGGAAUGUACCUGGUUGAUCCUGCCAG
rnacentral:misc_RNA from 1 species